UACUCUUCCAGUUGAAAGAGGUCUAACUUCCCUAUUCAUGAAUCUGGGAGGCCUUAGUGAGAAUCCGAGACUUUUAAAACUAGGUCUGAAGAAGGUUUGCAGCUUCUACCCAGGGUUCUUGAAUGACCCAUUCUGAGGACCACUGCCUACUAGAUUUUCAGCAGAGCAUUUUAAGACCAAGAAAUAUAGAUGCCAGGCUCUCCAUGCAGGACAUUCCAAGAGAUUGUGAAACCAACUGUUAAACUGCAGCCCAUCACCUACCUUGAGGAUUUAUAGAUACUGGCAGGAUGAGGACUAUUAAAGUAACUACUCCUGGACCUUGCUAUGUGCUCCCUGGCAUUUGAGUGCAUAGCCAAGAGGCCGGCUGGAGCCACUGGAGUGACAGAGAAAAGUGAGGGCUUCAUGGGCAGCAGCCUGCACCUCUGGAAGCAGACAGGGCUCAGCACAUCCUCAAGGAAAAUCUCUGGUGUUGAGUCAACUUGGGAAGGUUUGAAAUUUUGAUUGUGGUAAUUGUUACACAAUGCAUACAUGUAUCAAAUCAUCAU
rnacentral:lncRNA from 1 species